AUAUAUAUAUAUAUAUAUAUAUAUAUAUAUGCAUUUCCAUGUAAAAUAUACAUAUUAAAGGUACAAAAGGUGUAUCCUUCCUUUAGGGUAUCAAAAAGGAAAGGACGAAUUUAAAGCUAUUUUUUGCAGAUUGUAAAGAUAAAGGUAAGUGAUUAAGACAUUAUGAAAAGCAUGAACAAAAACUAAUGAUGGGCUGCAGUCUCUCCUGUUUAUGUUAAGAUUACAUUUUAAAUUUACAUUUUGUAUCUGUUAAUUAAUACAUUAUGUUUGCCUUAUUUACAUCUUUAUUCUAAGGUUGGUGUAAGUGCAUACUCAUUUAUUAAUCAGGCCACAAGGAAAUACACCCAAAGAGCAUUGAACACGACACUACAGCCUAGAUUUUAUUGGUAAAACUUAACCACAGAUAAAUUCCAUUUUUUUUCCCUGUAACUGUGGUGCUGCUCUCUGUGUGGUUUAUUUACCAGCUGUUUUUAUUAAUGUACAUAUUAAUCAUGUGAAAGAGAAGCAGGCAUCCACCACAGCACCUGCACACACACACACACACACACACACACACACACACACACACACACACACACACACACACACACACACACACACACUGUAUUAAGCAUGCGGCCAUGAUGUAGGUCCUUCUCUUCUUUAGCUGAUGAUUCAGACCUCCAGCCUGUACACUCUGCAGCUGUGUGCUCAUGCUUGUUCACACUGCAUUCACUUGCAUCCAGUAAUUACAUUAGCUCGACAGUCUAACGCUGACUACUUUAACAUUAUUUAAUUCAAGUCAUCAUUGAGCAAUAUGCCAUUUCUGGAGUUACUUUGUUCAUGCGUUAUUACACAGUAAUAACUAUAUAAUUAUAAUACAUUACUCUAUUGUUGGACUUUUCUAUAUAAUUAUAUUUGUAGUUUGUCUAAAAUGUACAACAUGUAUAUAAAUGACACACAUUGAUAGUUGUGUUUGUGUUAGAAAACAUGUUGAUGUGGAGUUGUAGAGGUUAGAUAAAUCACUACUCGUGAUACAUGUAAUAGAAAUUUGAAUUCGGUAGAAAAUGGUGUGAUGAGGUUCUCUAGCUCAGUUGUUGCAGCUGCUAAUCCACACAAGUCAUAUGCAGUCUAUCACAUAAUGACAUUACUGCAAGCCUAAUGUCAGAGAAAUGUGGUGCACCGUUCAGAUGAGCAGUAAGGGUUAUGAACAAAAGGAUAUUCUAGAUGACUAAUGUAUUUCCUAGAUGAAUAAAAGAUUUUCUAGAUAAGUAAAGGAUAUUCUAGAUGAUUAAAGGAUAUCCUAGAUUACUAAAGAUUAUCCUAGAUAACGAAAGGACUAAAGGAUAUACUAGAUUUUUAAAAGAUAUCCUAGAUUGCUAAAGGAUAUCUUAGCUUACUAAAUAAUGUCCUAUGACUAAAGGCUAUCCUAGAUGACUAAAAGGAUGUCCUAGAUUUCUAAAGGAUAUCCCAUCUGACUAAAUGAUGUCCUAGAUUACUAAAAGAUAUCCUAGAGGAUUUAGUCAUAGAACAUCCUUUAGUCAUCUAGGACAUAAUUUAGUCAUCUAGGAUAUCUUGUCGUAAUCUAGGAUAUCUUUUAGUAAUCUGGGACAUCAUUAAAUCAUCUAGGAUAUCUUUUAGUAAUCCGCGACUUCAUUUAAUCAUCUAGGAUAUCUUUUAGUAAUCAAGGACAUCCUUUAGUUAUAAAGGAAGACCUAGAUGACCAAAGGAUAUUCUAGAUAUCUAAAGGAGCACAUGCAAAGGAGUAAAAUAAUAAAACAAUCAACAAUCAUAAACAAUUUGCAAAAGGAUACAAGGCCUGGGUCAGUCCCACAUAAUUAUGAACUUGAAUAUCAAUUUAGCACGAGGAUCUCAAAAGAGUUACUUUUCUGCAAAGUAUGUCUAAUUCCAAACCACAUGAUUUAGCAAAUGAGCUAAUGAAAACACUAGCUGGAUGAGCUAAACGGUGCACAAAAACGGUGAGCUAUUCAGAAGAAGGGAAAAUGUCCAGAUUACAAUAACGCCGCCAUAAGAAAUAUUAGUUGUUUUUGUCAUGCCAUUUUGUUUUCAGUGCAUUAAAAACAUAACCUUACUAAUGUCCAUAAACCAGAUAGCGUAUAGAUGGUGUUCUAGCUAUUGCAUGUCAGUUGGUAUGGAGUAAAGUUUACAGUUACAUAGUAUGUGCAGUGUCACAGGUUACUUCUGUCUGGAUUAUAUAUAUAUAUAUAUAU
ensembl:lncRNA